GACGAAGGACCCGAGCGUUAUCCGGAUUCAUUGGGUUUAAAGGGUGCGUAGGCGGAUUGAUAAGUCAGUGGUGAAAGCCUGUUGCUUAACAACAGAACUGCCAUUGAUACUGUCGAUCUUGAAUAUGUUUGAUGUGGGCGGAAUAUGACAUGUAGCGGUGAAAUGCUUAGAUAUGUCAUAGAACACCGAUUGCGAAGGCAGCUCACAAAGCCAUUAUUGACGCUGAGGCACGAAAGCGUGGGGAUCAAACAGGAUUAGAAACCCCCGUAGUCC
rnacentral:rRNA from 1 species